AGAAUCAACGCUGGCGGCGUGCCUCAGACAUGCAAGUCGAACGAUUAAACUUUCCUUCGGGAAAGAUAUAAAGUGGCGCACGGGUGAGUAACACGUAAGUAAUCUACCUUUGAGUGGGGAAUAACCCGGGGGAAACCCGAGCUAAUACCGCAUAAUGCAGCGGCACCGCAAGGUGACAGUUGUUAAAGGAGCAAUCCGCUUAAAGAGGAGCUUGCGGCAGAUUAGCUAGUUGGUAAGGUAAUGGCUUACCAAGGCUACGAUCUGUAACCGGUCUAAGAGGACGGUCGGUCACACUGACACUGAAUAACGGGUCAGACUCCGUACGGGAGGCAGC
rnacentral:rRNA from 1 species